rnacentral:rRNA from 1 species
CCUACGGGAGGCAGCAGUGGGGAAUAUUGCACAAUGGGGGAAACCCUGAUGCAGCGACGCCGCGUGAAGGAAGAAGUAUUUCGGUAUGUAAACUUCUAUCAGCAGGGGAGAAAAUGACGGUACCUGACUAAGAAGCCACGGCUAACUACGUGCCAGCAGCCGCGGUAAUACGUAGGGAGCAGGCGUUAUCCGGAUUUACUGGGUGUAAAGGGAGCGUAGGCGGUUUAGCAAGUCAGAAGUGAAAGCCCGGGGCUCAACUCCGGGACUGCUUUUGAAACUGUUGAACUAGAGUGCAGGAGAGGUAAGUGGAAUUCGUAGUGUAGCGGUGAAAUGCGUAGAUAUUAGGAGGAACACCAGUUGCGAAGGCGGCUUACUGGACUGUAAAUGACGCUGAGGCUCGAAAGUGUGGGGAGCAAACAGGAUUAGAUACCCGUGUAGUC